rnacentral:rRNA from 1 species
UACGGGGGGGGCGAGCGUUGUCCGAAGUUACUGGGCGUAAAGCGCGUGUAGGCGGGUGUUAAGUCCGCUGUGAAAGCCCGGUGCUCAACGCCGGAGGGUCGGUGGAUACUGGCAGUCUUGAAGUGGCUAGGGGGAAAUGGAAUUACCGGUGUAGCGGUGAAAUGCGUAGAUAUCGGUAGGAACACCAGUGGCGAAGGCGGUUUCCUGGAGCUAACUUGACGCUGAGGAGCGAAAGCGUGGGGAGCGAACAGG